rnacentral:rRNA from 1 species
UUCGCAAUACCCGAAAGGGUGACGAAGCGACGCCGCGUGUGGGAAGAAGGCCUUCGGGUUGUAAACCACUGUCGGGAGUUAAGAAAUGCAAGAAUGUUAAUAGCGUUUUUGCUUGACUAAGGCUCCGGAGGAAGCCACGGCUAACUCUGUGCCAGCAGCCGCGGUAAUACAGAGGCGGCAAGCGUUGUUCGGAAUUAUUGGGCGUAAAGAGCACGUAGGCGGCUAUAUAAGUCGGUUGUGAAAGCCUUCCGCUCAACGGGAGAACAGCAUCCGAUACUGUAUGGCUUGAGUGUGGGAGGGGAGAGCGGAACUUCUGGUGGAGCGGUGAAAUGCGUAGAUAUCAGAAGGAACGCCGGCGGCGAAAGCGGCUCUCUGGCCCAUAACUGACGCUGAGUGUGCGAAAGCUAGGGGAGCAAACGGGAUUAGAUACCCCGGUAGUCCUAGCCGUAAACGAUGGGCACUAAGUAGAGGGGUUUU